UCGCCCUCGACAGGACCGGCACGCCUCUCCUCGAGUCCCAAACGAACAAGCUCUAGACUCCCUCGAGCAAUCAUUGUAUCUCUGUCUACAUGAUACACACCGUGGUUUGUGCCAAGACUGCAUCUUCGAUCUGUCCGUUCCAUCCAUUAAUUUUGUUGCACUUCACGGUUCACAAGAUAUUUUCCAUGGAUUUUGUAGAGGUUGCAGAAAACGAAGCAGUGAGAGCGGAUGGAUCCAUCAGUUAGAAGAUGCUUUCUUGAUAUGUUCCCUGUCAGGUGAAUUAAUGUGGUAUUUUUCAUAAUUCGAUUUGGAAAGAUUUAUCUAUAUGGUGAGAUUUGGAAGCUAUUUUUCUUUGUGCAAUACUGGGUUAUGUAAUUAAUGUGCAUGCUGAUUAAUUCACUCAUAAUUUCCUUGUGAAGUAUCUACGACAACGACUGAAUAAGAGCCAAUGGAUUAGUUAAUCCCUCAUAUUAGAUUGUCUAUUUUUUGUAGAUUUGGAGGACAUAUAUUUGCUUGAAUUAGUGUUUAUGUCUCCAAUUUUGUUGUAUGGGAAAAUGGAGAAAGAGGAGUUGCACGGUUGGGAAUUAGAAUCUUCAUUUGUGAAUUUCAGCCCAACCUAUCAAAUAACAAGGAACUUCCUUUGGUCUAAACUUAAGGUGUUUUUGUAUAUAUUCUGUAAAUUCUAAGAGUAUUCAUACAAAUGCGAUGCCAUUUAGAAAGAACAUUAUUCUAAUUGUCAUCCUAGCUAGGAAUCCAUAUCUCUGGUUUUACACAUUAUUCUGUUCCUUUAGUACAUGUCAAUUUCUGAACAUGCAUAUGAUUUUAUUCUGAAUCAGUCAAAAUAGUCUAUCUGGAUUCUGGCUUCCAUGUUGUACUCAUUGAACUGAGAGCAGCUGAAACUAUCAGAAGCUCUCCAUAGUCUUCCUGGUGCUGAUCCGCUCCACUGUGUUGAUGUGCCCAUCAGUACAGAAUCCAAGGCCUAUAUCCCCGCUGUUGUCGGUAGAGCUGCAACGACGUGCUCGCUCUGCUGCUGCUUCCGCCAACGCGUCUAGCAAGGGCAGUAAGCUGCAGGUAUAGAGAGGGACGAGGAGAUAGAGAGUGUAUCUUAACUGGACCUAAAGUCAGGAGUUUAUUUCACUUCUAACAAGAAUGGGCCAAAGACAUCACCUUGGCACUGCACGGCAUCACCCUCUGUCGUGACGCUCCUGGGUGUAUAGGUAGAGCAAGCAAAUCAAUAGGUAUGAACUUCAGUAUGCUCAGUUGGUUUCUGAAAGAGUGCCGCCUCUUAGUGUUAAGUAUGGAAUUUAGUUUUUCUCAUUACUGCACAUAAUUUACAUGUGAUAUUUUGGUGAUAAGAGUAUGCAAGUUCAUGCUUUGGGCACCUGUUUGGAUUGAGUCCCUGGUGGUUAGGAAAAGAACUCUUAAUGGUUACAUUUUCAUGCAAGUAUAGAAAUCGCAAUACAGUAUGAAUCGAUAUGUUGUGGUUUUUAGAUAUGUUGUAUUUCAAAUGUUCUUGGCAUGUUCCUUUUAGCAGUUCUGUGAUGUCACUAGCUUUAUUAGAAAUAUUUUUCACAUGCUUCGCAUUGCCAUUAAGCUGUUUAGAACAAGAUUUGCAUUGACAUCAUGUUGUUGGAAAUAUCUAUUACAAAGAACUAGAGUUUGAUUUCAAGGAAGUUAGAUGCUUUGGUAUUUAUUUUUGCGGGGUGAUGCUUUGGUAUAUUUUGUUUCUUCGAGAAAAACUUAGAAGUUAGAAAUUGAGACGACUACCAUUAUUUGAUUUGUGAUUAAAAAACGAAGGGCAUAAAAUAGAAUCAAAUAAUUCAUCAUGUGUUUGAGGUGUUGGUAAGUGACAACAGUCUGAUAUAGAUAUUUAUGUUUCUUUAUAGAAAAACUUAAAAGUAAUUUUUUUUUUAGAUUACACCGGGGUUGCACAGUGGUAGUCAACAGAAAAUACUGGACUAGCAACCCUCCGAAUUUAAUAUUCCCCAUACUUACAGGUGCAUUUUGUUAUAUUUUCAUAUGACUCAUACUCGGCAGCUUAUAUGACUUGCACACACAAGACUUUAUUAAAUAAAUAUGACUCAUAUUUGCAGGUGCGUUUUGUUCUGUUCUCAUAUGCAUUCUGGAAUGCUUGAUUCAGACUCUGCACAUGAUGCUCUCGGAGUCUGGGAAAUGGAUGUUCCUAGAGUAAUAAAAUCUUUUGAACUCAAUUAUUUCAGUUUGAUAGCUAGCUGUGCCUAGGGGUUCUCAUAUAUUAUAUUCUCUUCCAAAUAAAAUGAUUUUAGAACAGUUUCAACCUUUGGGAAUGGUCUUUGUGAUAAUACAAUAAUACCACUUGGCUAUAAGAUGCACUUCACUGUUGGGCGCAGUAUGUAGGGUAAGCUAUAGUUAUUUCGUAUACUUCACUGGUAAUUCCUAUUCCUUGCAAUCUGUGGCUCCUAUUUUUAAAAUUGUCUAUGACUACAUCAGACAAAUUUACAAAACUGGGAAUUUGGAAGGUUCAGUUUUAGUACAACUUACGUGCACUACAUUUCUUACAGAUCAUAGCAAUCUAUUUACUGAAGUCUGUUCCAGCAGAUUUGAGGUACACAUAAGCAGGCUGGGAAAGGUAGAAUGGCUGUG